rnacentral:tRNA from 1 species
GGAGACGUAUCGAAGUGGUCAUAACGGGACUGACUCGAAAUCAGUUGAACUCAAAGGUUCCGUGGGUUCGAAUCCCACCGUCUCCGCCA